rnacentral:rRNA from 1 species
UCUAAGGGGACUGCCCAGACAAUGGGGAGGAAGGUGGGACGACGGUCAAGGUCAGCAUGGCCUUUAUAUCCUGGGCUACACACACGCUACAAUGGGAAGGGACAAUAGGUUGCGAAGCCGCGAGGCGGAGCCAAUCCAGCAAAACUUCCCUCAGUUCAGAUUGCAGGCUGCAACUCGCCUGCAUGAAGUUGGAGUUGCUAGUAAACGCAGGUCAGCCAUACUGCGUUGAAUACGUUCCCGGGGCUU